ACGUCUUUAGUUUAAUUGGUAGAACGUAGGCCUCCAAAGCUUAAUGUUGAAGGUUCAAUUCCUUCAGGGCGUG
rnacentral:tRNA from 1 species